GAAAGUAAGCAAGGGCAGACGGUGGAUGCCUUGGCUCUCGGAGGCGACGAAGGACGUGAUAAGCUGCGAAAAGCUCGGGGGAGGCGCAAAUAGCCGUUGAUCCCGGGAUAUCCGAAUGGGGCAACCCGGCAGGCUGAAGGCCUGUCAUCCCGUAAGGGAGGCGAACGUGGGGAACUGAAACAUCUAAGUACCCAUAGGAGGAGAAAAUAAACAAUGAUUCCGUAAGUAGUGGCGAGCGAACACGGAAGAGCCCAAACCCAUGUCGUCUAGGCGACACGGGGGUUGUAGGACCACGACGUGGCAAGAUAGAGUCAAGUGGAACGCCUUGGAAAAGGCGGUCAUAGAGGGUGAAAACCCCGUACACGACUGACGAUUGAAGCCUAGUGGCAUCCUGAGUAGCGCGGGGCACGAGAAAUCUUGCGUGAAACAGCGGGGCCCAUCCCGUAAGGCUAAAUACUCCCGAGAGACCGAUAGCGAACCAGUACCGUGAGGGAAAGGUGAAAAGAACCCCGAGCAGGGGAGUGAAAUAGACCCUGAACCCGUCUGCCUACAAGCGGUCGGAGCAUAGCAAUAUGUGACGGCGUGCCUUUUGCAUAAUGAACCUACGAGUUACCUUCCCCGGCAAGGUUAAGUACCUAAGGUACGGAGCCGAAGCGAAAGCGAGUCUGAAGAGGGCGGCCAGUCGGGGGGGGUAGACGCGAAACCGAGUGAUCUACCCUUGGCCAGGUUGAAGGUUGGGUAACACCAACUGGAGGACCGGAUGGGUAAGCGUUGAAAAGCUUUCCAAUGAGCUGAGGGUAGGGGUGAAAGGCUAAUCAAACUCGGAGAUAGCUCGUACUCCCCGAAAUGCAUUUAGGUGCAGCCUCUUUAUAGUAUAUCGUGAGGUAGAGCGACUGAUUGGAUGCGAGGGCUUCACCGCCUAUCAAGUCCAGAUAAACUCCGAAUGCGCGAUAUAUAUUUACAGGGAGUGAGGGCGCGGGUGCUAAGGUCCGUGUCCGAGAGGAGAAGAAUCCAGACCACCGGCUAAGGCCCCCAAAUGAUCGUUGAGUUGAACUAACGAGGUCGGAUCGCAGAGACAGCUAGGAUGUUGGCUUGGAAGCAGCCAUUCAUUUAAAGAGUGCGUAACAGCUCACUAGUCGAGCGAUCUGGCGUGGAUAAUAAUCGGGCAUAAACGAUCUGCCGAAGCCGUGGAUGUCGUAAGACAUGGUAGGGGAGCAUUCCAUGCGGCGUCGAAGAUGAGGGAUGACCCUUGUUGGAGCGCAUGGAAAAGCAAAUGUAGGUAUGAGUAACGAUAAGGGGGGCGAGAAACCCCCCCGCCGAAAGACCAAGGUUUCCUGAUCAACGCUAAUCGGAUCAGGGUGAGUCGGGACCUAAGGCUAAGCCGAACGGCGACGCCGAUGGAAGAAUGGGUUAAUAUUCCCAUACUGCCUCAUGGAGUGACGUGGAGACGGAGAAGUGACAGUCCUGCCGGCUGACGGAAUAGCCGGUUGAAGGGUGUAGAUAUUGAUUCCCGUAGGCAAAUCCGCGGGGAGAGUCGAACCUGAGAGUAUACGGAGCGCUUGCGCAACGUAAUAUGGACGUAACCAUGCUCCCAAGAAAAUCCGCUAAACUUAUCCAUGCGGCACCCGUACCGUAAACGGACACACGUGGUCGGGUUGAGAAUACUGAGGCGCUCGAGUGACUCACGGUUAAGGAACUAGGCAAAUUGACCCUGUAACUUCGGGAUAAAGGGUCCUCGUCGUAAGGCGAGGCGCAGAGAAUAGGUCCAGGCAACUGUUUAACAAAAACACAUGGCUGUGCUAAAUGGAAACAUGACGUAUACAGCCUGACACCUGCCCGGUGCUGGAAGGUUAAGAGGAGAUGUCAUCGCAAGAGAAGCGUUGAAUUGAAGCCCCAGUAAACGGCGGCCGUAACUAUAACGGUCCUAAGGUAGCGAAAUUCCUUGUCGGGUAAGUUCCGACCUGCACGA
rnacentral:rRNA from 1 species